UGGGGAAUAUUGCACAAUGGGCGCAAGCCUGAUGCAGCAAUGCCGCGUGAGUGAAGACGGCCUUAGGGUUGUAAAACUCUUUCGCUAGGGAAGAUAAUGACGGUACCUAGUAAAGAAGUCCCGGCUAACUCCGUGCCAGCAGCCGCGGUAAUACGGAGGGGGUUAGCGUUGUUCGGAAUUACUGGGCGUAAAGCGCACGUAGGCGGACCAGAAAGUUGGGGGUGAAAUCCCGGGGGCUCAACCCCGGAACUGCCUCCAAAACUAUUGGUCUAGAGUUCGAGAGAGGUGAGUGGAAUUCCAAGUGUAGAGGUGAAAUUCGUAGAUAUUUGGAGGAACACCAGUGGCGAAGGCGGCUCACUGGCUCGAUACUGACGCUGAGGUGCGAAAGUGUGGGGAGCAAACAGGAUUAGAUACCCUGGUAGUCCACACCGUAAAACGAUGAAUGCCAGUCGUCGGGUAGCAUGCUAUUCGGUGACACACCUAACGGAUUAAGCAUUCCGCCUGGGGAGUACGGUCGCAAGAUUAAAA
rnacentral:rRNA from 1 species